GACGAACGCUGGCGGCGUGCUUAACACAUGCAAGUCGAACGAAGUGGCGGACGGGUGAGUAACGCGUAAUCAACCUGCCCUUCAGAGGGGGACAACAGUUGGAAACGACUGCUAAUACCGCAUACUGAAGGAGGGGAUUGCGUCUGAUAAGCUCGUUGGAGGGGUAACGGCCAACCAAGGCGAUGGUCAGUAGCCGGUCCGAGGGGAAGGACGGCCACAUUGGGACUGAGACACGGCCCAGACUCCUACGGGAGGCAGCAGGGGGGAAACUUCCGAAAAGGACGAAAGGCUGACGGAGCAACGGCGCGUGAGUGGUGACGGCCUUCGGGUUGGAAAGCUCUGUUAAGCGGGAAGCGGUACCGGAAUAGAAAGCAACGGCUAACUACGUGCCAGCAGCCGCGGUAAUAC
rnacentral:rRNA from 1 species